rnacentral:SRP_RNA from 13 species
GGCAGUCGCUGGCGCCGAUCACCUCGGCCUCCGCCUUGGCGAAGCCCGCGCCGACGUACUCGACGAAGGUCCGGCCGACGGGGCCGAGCGGCAGGAGGAAGGUCACCUGGAAG